UGUGCAGAUGUGGGAGGAAUGAUUCAAUCAAAGAGACUUAUUUUAUGGCUUUGAGGCCUCUGGGCUUCUGUGCUACUGCAUCUCUUUUUGGUGCAGCCCUCUCGCAAUUAUCUAGGCACUCUGAUCUUGUCUUCUCAAUCCUGUGGAUUUACAUAACUUUUUCUCCAUGAGAGAUGAAGAGGGUCAAAGUAAGCUAGCAAUAUUGGACUGGGCGGAGCAUAGUGGCCCUUUGAAUUAAGGUACACUAAUUAGGAAUUUCAUGUGAAUAACGUGAUAACAUUUUGUCGCAUGGAAUAACGGAUUGUCUUGUGAAUAUUUUAUAUGAGAGAAUAAUGGUCUCACUUUCUAGAGAUAAUCACCCAACUAGGGGCAUGUAAGACAGUUAUCAUUAAGUGAUUUUUAGAGAACAAACAUCAUACUCUUUGAAGAUGAUGCACACCGAAUCUCAAAUUUUUGCAUUUUCUUACUCAUAAACCUUUUUGUUUCCAAUCACUUCGGAGGAGUCUAUUUGGCAGCCAAACAUAUAGCCGGGCAACACUAACAAUACACUCCGAUGUGCAGGUUAUAGUUCUUGGUCAUGGAACUCUUUCUUUUGUGCUGAUUUCAUCCCACAUGUGAGGUUUCUUAAUUCUUGAUGCAUCUUGCAAUAUUAGGGUACAUAUUCCCCAUCUUCUUGGUUGGAGCACAUUUGGAUCCGCAAAUACUAAAGAAAAUAGAAAAGGAAAAUUAAUUGGCAUUCCAAACAGUAGCCUUGGAAGAUGAUGAAUUCUGGGUUUCGGGCAUCAUUUUCCUCCAUCGUAACUAGUCCAGAUUUUGUGUGAUAACACUACCCGUCUCUCACAAAUCUCAAGGAGAAGUUUCUGAUUUUGAAGACACUUUCUUCCAGUUUUCAUUCCCGUUUUCUUUUUGAGGAGAAAAGGAUGUUGGAGAAGAAGAUUAACUUGUCAUGCAAUGUUUAUGCUUAAUUUUACCUAGUCAGGACCUCCAAUUUGGAAGGCUUCGCUAUGUUUACGACACUAAAUUUUCCCUAAGCUUUAAUGAAUAACAAAUGCCUCUAGAGCAGAUAAAAAACAAAAAAAAAAAAAUAUAUAUA